rnacentral:rRNA from 1 species
UUGUGACAGGGGAGGUAGUGACAAGGACUGUCAGAGGUGAAUUCUUCAGUGUGACACAUCGGGAGGUAGUGACAAGGACUGUCAGAGGUGAAAUUCUUAGUGUGACACGGGAGGCAGUGACAAGGCUCGUCCUAGAUUUUCUUCUUAGUUGCAUUAUCUCUUUUUAUAUGAGUUUUUGCAUUAUGGCUUAUUUCAGUAUUAAUUAUUUAUUAUUACUGAAUGUUUACUUUGAGAACAUUAGAGUGCUCAAAGCAGGCUUUUGCCUUGAAUAGUUUAGCAUGGAACCAUAAAGUACGACUAUGGUUCUAUCUCGUUGGUUUUAUGUUCCAACAUACUGGUUUACAGUGACAGUCUCUAGCUCUGAAAUUCUCUUGUCCAAACCUCCCCGUCUUACAC